AAACUGUGCAAUGCGCGAAAGCGCGACACGGGAAGCCUGAGUGCCUUAACUAUGUUAAGGCUUUUCUUGAGCCUAAAAAGCUCAAGGAAUAAGAACUGGGUAAGACGGGUGCCAGCCGCCGCGGUAACACCCGCGGUUCGAGUGGUAGUCACUUUUAUUGAGCCUAAAGCGUUUGUAGCCGGAUUUGUAAAUCUCCAGGAAAAGACUUCAGCUCAACUGAAGAAAUUUUGGAGAGACUGCAAAUCUAGGGACCGGGUGAGGUUGAAUGUACUUCUGGGGUAGGGGUAAAAUCCUGUAAUCCUGGAAGGACGACCGGUGGCGAAGGCGUUCAACUAGAACGGAUCCGACGGUGAGGAACGAAGGCUAGGGGAGCAAACCGGAUUAGAUACCCGGGUAGUCCUAGCUGUAAACACUGCCCACUUGGUGUUGCAUCUCCGGUAAGGGGGUGCAGUGCCGUAGCGAAGGUGUUAAGUGGGCCGCUUGGGGAGUAUGGUCGCAAGGCUGAAACUUAAAGGAAUUGGCGGGAGAGCACCGCAACGGGAGGAGCGUGCGGUUUAAUUGGAUUCAACGCCGGAAAACUCACCGGAGGCGACCUAUGUAUGAGAGUCAACCUGAUGAGUUUACUCGAUAGUAGGAGAGGUGGUGCAUGG
rnacentral:rRNA from 1 species